rnacentral:rRNA from 1 species
GACGUAGGGCGCGAGCGUUGUCCGGAUUUAUUGGGCGUAAAGAGCUCGUAGGCGGUCUGUCGCGUCUGCCGUGAAAACCCGAGGCUUAACCUCGUGGCUUGCGGUGGAUACGGGCAGACUAGAGGUAGGUAGGGGAGAAUGGAAUUCCCGGUGUAGCGGUGAAAUGCGCAGAUAUCGGGAGGAACACCGGUGGCGAAGGCGGUUCUCUGGGCCUUACCUGACGCUGAGGAGCGAAAGCGUGGGGAGCGAACAGG